AGAGUUUGAUCAUGGCUCAGGAUGAACGCUAGCUACAGGCUUAACACAUGCAAGUCGAGGGGCAGCAUGUUGGUUGCUUGCAACCAAUGAUGGCGACCGGCGCACGGGUGAGUAACGCGUAUCCAACCUACCCUUGUCCAUCGGAUAACCCGUCGAAAGGCGGCCUAACACGAUAUGCGGUUCACAGCAGGCAUCUAAGGUGAACGAAAUGUGAAGGAGAAGGAUGGGGAUGCGUCUGAUUAGCUUGGUUGGCGGGGUAACGGCCACCAAGGCUACGAUCAGUAGGGGUUCUGAGAGGAAGGUCCCCACAUUGGAACUGAGACAACGGUCCAAACUCCUACGGAGGCA
rnacentral:rRNA from 1 species